GAACGUAAAGAUCACUCCCACCUUCCUCAGUCCCUCCAUCAGUCAGCAGGAGAACAAUAACAGUCACUAGAGAGGUAGAGUCUAACACAACGCUGCUGCUUUAUCAGGCUGUGGAGCUCGCCUCAUCUCCUAGCUACAGGUGGAUAGGGGGAACUUUAGAAACUACAAAUGCAACUGUGAUCAAGAAGGAUUUUAAAGACUUUCCUGCAUUUUCCACUGUGUCCAUGGAGAUUAGCAGUGUUUCUCUUGCUUACCCGACGGUGUUUGUAUAGCUGAGGCCUUUGUCCUCCAGGAAGAUUGUAUCCUUAUCACUUGUGUGUGUGCUUGUUUGACCGUGUGUGAGAGCGUAUGUGUGUGUGUGUGUAUGACGUGUGUUAUGCCCUCUAGGACGAUGAAGAGUGUAUCCUUAUCAGUCAGCUCAUAUC
rnacentral:lncRNA from 13 species